AGUGAACGCUGGCGGUAGGCCUAACACAUGCAAGUCGAACGGCAGCACAGUAAGAGCUUGCUCUUACGGGUGACGAGUGGCGGACGGGUGGGGAAUACAUCGGAAUCUACUUUUUCGUGGGGGAGAACGUAGGGAAACUUACGCUAAUACCGCAUACGACCUACGGGUGAAAGCAGGGGAUCUUCGGACCUUGCGCGAUUGAAUGAGCCGAUGUCGGAUUAGCUAGUUGGCGGGGUAAAGGCCCACCAAGGCGACGAUCCGUAGCUGGUCUGAGAGGAUGAUCAGGCACACUGGAACUGAGACACGGUCCAGAAUCCUAAGGGAGGCAGCAGUGGGGAAGAUUGGAGAAUGGGCGCAAGCCUGAUCCAGCCAUGCCGCGUGGGUGAAGAAGGCCUUCGGGUUGUAAAGCCCUUUUGGUUGGAAAGCAAAGCAGCAGGUUAAUACCCCGCUGUUCUGACGGUACCCAAAGAAUAAGCACCGGCUACCUUCGU
rnacentral:rRNA from 1 species